CCAAGAUGGCAGCUGGUGAAGACGAGUUACUGCUGCCACGGCUCCCCGAGCUGUUCGAAACAAGCAAGCAGCUCCUGGACGAAAUAGAAGUAGCGACGGAACCCACCGGGUCCCGGAUAGUCCAGGAUAAGGUGUCAAAGGGACUGGACUUCCUUGGGAAGGCUGCCGAAAUGGUAUCAGAGCUCGACUUGUUCAGCCGAAAUGAAGAUUUGGAGGAGAUUUCUUCCACCGACCUGAAGUACCUGCUGGUGCCAGCAUUUCAAGGAGCCCUCACCCUGAAACAAGUCGACGGCAACAAGCGUCUAGAUCAUUUGCAGUGGGCUCGAGAACAUUUUAUGAACUACUUAACCCAGUGCCAUUACUAUCAGGUGGCAAAGUUUGAGCUGCCCAAAACCAAGAACAACUCAGCUGAAAAUAACACUGCUACUUCCUCCAUGGCCUAUCCUAGCCUCGUUGCUAUGGCAUCUCAAAGACAGGCUAAAAUAGAGAGAUACAAGCAGAAGAAGGAGGUAGAGCAAAGGUUGUCUGCACUGAAAAGUGCUGUGGAAAGUGGUCAAGCAGAUGAUGAGCAUGUUCGUGAAUAUUAUCUCCUUCACAUUCAGAGGUGGGUUGGCAUCAGCUUAGAGGAGAUUGAGAGCAUUGACCAGGAGAUAAAGAUCCUGACAGAAAAAGACUCUUCAAGAGAGGCAUCAACUUCUCAUUCAUCUCAUCAGAAGAGGCCUCCAGUGAAGCCCUUUAUUCUCACUCGGAAUGCGGCCCAAGCCAAAGUAUUUGGAGCUGGUUAUCCAAGCCUGGCAACUAUGACAGUGAGUGAGUGGUAUGAUCAGCAUCAGAAACAUGGAACAUUACCAGAUCAGGGAAUAGCCAAGGCAACACCAGAAUUAAAAAGAGCAGCCCAGGAAGAUCAAGAACAAAAGGAGGAAGAGGACGAUGAGCAAACACUUCACAGAGCACGGGAGUGGGACGACUGGAAGGACACUCAUCCUAGGGGCUAUGGCAACCGACAGAACAUGGGGUAAUCUCCCCACAGCACGACAAGACUACGGGUCGCACAUCUUCCCCACCAAGGAAAACUGUGUGGUCUUCCCCUCCCGAGGCUCCUGCUUCAGCUGUGUACAAAGAAAGCCGAAAUGCUGAGUUUUGUUUUCAAUAAAGUGUCAAGUGAUUAACUGUGUAUUUGUACCCUAAAUAAUGAACUAGCAACUUUGUUUUGGCAUUAUCUUCCUAAUCAUGGUGUAUUCUAAUUUCUUGAAUGGAAAGAAAAGAGCACUGAGAAAUGGCUCUGUAUAAUCAAUGGCUGUAUGAAUUCUCUUUAAAAAAUAAUAAAAGUCCCUUCCAUUA